GCGUUGGUGGUGCAACGGUUUAAGUACAUGCUCCCGGAAAGAGUAAGAUCUGGGUUCGAAUCCCGGCUGACGCA